rnacentral:rRNA from 1 species
AUUGAACGCUGGCGGCAGGCCUAACACAUGCAAGUCGAGCGGAGCGGCGGACGGGUGAGUAAUGCCUAGGAAUCUGCCUGGUAGUGGGGGAUAACGUCCGGAAACGGGCGAUAAUACCGCAUACUAUCAGAUGAGCCUAGGUAGGAUUAGCUAGUUGGGGGGGUAAAGGCCUACCAAGGCGACGAACCGUAACUGGUCUGAGCGGAUGAUCAGUCACACUGGAACUGAGACAGGGUCCAGACUCCUACGGGAGGCAGCUGUGGGGAAUAUUGGAAGAUGGGCGAAAGCCUGAUCCAGCCAUGCCGCGUGUGUGAAGAAGGUCUUCGGAUUGUAGAGCACUUUAAGUUGGGAGGCGUUACCAACAGAAUAAGCACCGGCUAACUUCGUGCCAGCAGCCGCGUAAUUC